AUUGGCAAGAGGGUGUGUGAAGGAAGGAAGGGUGACAAGGAGGAAAGAAGUGUGGAUCUGGAGCUUUAGGAAGGAGGAGCUUGAUGUAGAGAAGGGCAGGAGACUGGAAGGAGGGUGGUUCAGCAGCAGUGAAAGCCCAGUGAAUUCCCAGUUGGGAAUGAUUUCCUUAAAAAAACAAAACAAAACAAAAACUUGUGUAGCCUGGAGAGCCCACCGUGAGAACUGCAAAUGCUGGGAACUGCAAAAAGCCCUGUGUUACAUAUCAUUUAACAAAUGUGUUGGGAAUAUAAAAAAGUAGAAGACCAUCUCAUGGCCCAGCCAAGAAGACAGCACCCACGCAUAGAAGGUAAGUGAAUGGGCAAAGCAGCACAUACUAAAUGGUACUGGUUUUAGAGGCAGGCUGGCUGUCAUAAGCUAUGUAUCUAAGGAAGGCUUCACAGAAGAGAUGGAAACUAUUACAUCUUGAAGGAUAAAUGAGGUUAAAUAAAAGUAGAACAGUUAUCA
rnacentral:lncRNA from 12 species